UGGUAAAACUGUGGUCUCGUGUGGUUUUCCAUACCGGCUCUCGGCAAGGAUUUUCAAGAAAGGAAUACCAUCUCCAAAUCAUGAUGUGCCAAUAAGCUCCAGUUAGCUGCGGCCUUUUCCCCAGGCGGUAGUCCUGCAAUCUGAAUCCAGGAGAUGCAGCUCUGAAUCCAAUAUUUCAGAAGAAUGAAGAUGAAGCAGACCCAGGAGGAACUGUCUGUUGAAGACACCCCCCCC